rnacentral:rRNA from 1 species
GUUUCCGUAGGUGAACCUGCGGAAGGAUCAUUACCGAGUGCGGGAACCCAGUCGGGUCCCAAUCUCCCACCCGUGUCUACCACACCUAGUGUUGCUUUGGCGGGCCCACUCCUCCGGUGUUCCGCCGGGGGGGUCGUCCCGGGGCGCGGUGUGCCCCCGGGGCCCGUGCCCGCCAGAGGCACUCACUGUGAACGCUUUUGUGAAUGCGAGGAUUGUCUGAGUGACGAAAUGCAAUCGUUCAAAACUUUCAACAAUGGAUCUCUUGGUUCCGGCAUCGAUGAAGAACGCAGCGAAAUGCGAUAAGUAAUGUGAAUUGCAGAAUUCCGUGAAUCAUCGAAUCUUUGAACGCACAUUGCGCCCUCUGGUAUUCCGGGGGGCAUGCCUGUCCGAGCGUCAUUGCGAACCCUCAAGCACGGCUUGUGUGUUGGGCCGCCGUCCCCUCGUUUGGAGGGGACGGGCCUGAAAGGCAGCGGCGGCGUCGCGUCCGGUCCUCGAGCGUAUGGGGCUCUGUCACGCGCUCAAGGAGGGGUCCGGCCGGGGCCAUAGCCUCUGAAGGUCAAUUCUUCCAAGGUUGACCUCGGAUCAGGUAGGAGUACCCGCUGAACUUAAGCAUAUCAAUAAGCGGGAGGA